rnacentral:rRNA from 1 species
GAUGAACGCUGGCGGCGUGCUUAACACAUGCAAGUCGAACGGUGAAGGCGGAGCUUGCUCUGCUGGAUCAGUGGCGAACGGGUGAGUAACACGUGAGCAAUCUGCCCCUGACUCUGGGAUAAGCGCUGGAAACGGCGUCUAAUACUGGAUACGAGCUGCGAAGGCAUCUUCAGCAGCUGGAAAGAAUUUCGGUCAGGGAUGAGCUCGCGGCCUAUCAGCUUGUUGGUGAGGUAAUGGCUCACCAAGGCAUCGACGGGUAGCCGGCCUGAGAGGGUGACCGGCCACACUGGGACUGAGACACGGCCCAGACUCCUACGGGAGGCAGCAGUGGGGAAUAUUGCACAAUGGGCGAAAGCCUGAUGCAGCAACGCCGCGUGAGGGACGACGGCCUUCGGGUUGUAAACCUCUUUUAGCAGGGAAGAAGCGAAAGUGACGGUACCUGCAGAAAAAGCGCCGGCUAACUACGUG